UCGGUGAGAUAACAGCACAUACACAUAAUAAUUUUAUUACACAAUUUAAGGUAGACUAAAGAGAGAUGAAUCAUGGUUUAUUAUUUGAAGAAUAUUCCGCUAGCAAUAUUUGAAAAGGUAGUGCAGGGUUCUCAAACACAUGAAAAAUCAACGAAAUAAACCAAAAUCAUGUUUGACCGACAGUUAGCGCAAAACAACAUCAAUACAAAACAACUUAAGCAAUAUCAGACACCAGUUUGGUAAUUUUUUAAAUACUUAAACAAGUCCGUAGCUUCAUUUUAAAUGAUAUGAAAAUAUUGGUAUUGGCGAGGAAUAUAAUAAUAUGCAAUCAGAACGCAGUAAAUCGACCUUGGAAAAUAUGGAUGUACGGCAGUUCACUUAAAGAAUUCUGACGCAUGGAUUCACUUAUCUCACACGUGGGAAAGUAUCAACAUCCUAUAUUGCAAAUGGACUAGAAGAUGCUGAGAAUAAUACAUGUUAUAUGCAAUAUGGCACUACGGCAGAUCACACAAGGCAUGCUGAGACAUGGAUUCACAUUUCUC